rnacentral:rRNA from 1 species
GAAUUCGCCCUUAGAGUUUGAUCCUGGCUCAGGACGAACGCUGGCGGCGCGCCUAACACAUGCAAGUCGAACGAGCGAGAGAGAGCUUGCUUUCUCAAGCGAGUGGCGAACGGGUGAGUAACGCGUGAGGAACCUGCCUCAAAGAGGGGGACAACAGUUGGAAACGACUGCUAAUACCGCAUAAGCCCACGACCCGGCAUCGGGUAGAGGGAAAAGGAGCAAUCCGCUUUGAGAUGGCCUCGCGUCCGAUUAGCUAGUUGGUGAGGUAACGGCCCACCAAGGCGACGAUCGGUAGCCGGACUGAGAGGUUGAACGGCCACAUUGGGACUGAGACACGGCCCAGACUCCUACGGGAGGCAGCAGUGGGGAAUAUUGCACAAUGGGGGAAACCCUGAUGUAGCGACGCCGCGUGGAGGAAGAAGGUCUUCGGAUUGUAAACACCUGUUGUUGAGGAAGAUAAUGACGGUACUCAACAAGGAAGUGACGGCUAACUACGUGCCAGCAGCCGCGGUAAAACGUAGGUCACAAGCGUUGUCCGGAAUUACUGGGUGUAAAGGGAGCGCAGGCGGGAAGACAAGUUGGAAGUGAAAUCCAUGGGCUCAACCCAUGAACUGCUUUCAAAACUGUUUUUCUUGAGUAGUGCAGAGGUAGGCGGAAUUCCCGGUGUAGCGGUGGAAUGCGUAGAUAUCGGGAGGAACACCAGUGGCGAAGGCGGCCUACUGGGGCACCAACUGACGCUGAGGCUCGAAAGUGUGGGUAGCAAACAGGAUUAGAUACCCUGGUAGUCCACACUGUAAACGAUGAUUACUAGGUGUUGGAGGAUUGACCCCUUCAGUGCCGCAGUUAACACAAUAAGUAAUCCACCUGGGGAGUACGACCGCAAGGUUGAAACUCAAAGGAAUUGACGGGGGCCCGCACAAGCAGUGGAGUAUGUGGUUUAAUUCGACGCAACGCGAAGAACCUUACCAAGUCUUGACAUCCUGCGACGGUGCUGGAAACAGUACUUUCCUUCGGGACGCAGAGACAGGUGGUGCAUGGUUGUCGUCAGCUCGUGUCGUGAGAUGUUGGGUUAAGUCCCGCAACGAGCGCAACCCUUAUGGUCAGUUACUACGCAAGAGGACUCUGGCCAGACUGCCGUUGACAAAACGGAGGAAGGUGGGGAUGACGUCAAAUCAUCAUGCCCUUUAUGACUUGGGCUACACACGUACUACAAUGGCGUUAAACAAAGAGAAGCAAGACCGCGAGGUGGAGCAAAACUCAGAAACAACGUCCCAGUUCGGACUGCAGGCUGCAACUCGCCUGCACGAAGUCGGAAUUGCUAGUAAUCGCAGAUCAGCAUGCUGCGGUGAAUACGUUCCCGGGCCUUGCACUCACCGCCCGUCA